rnacentral:rRNA from 1 species
AGAAUCAACGCUGGCGGCGUGCCUAACACAUGCAAGUCGCACGAGAAAGUGGAGCAAUCCAUGAGUAAAGUGGCGCACGGGUGAGUAACACGUGAAUGAUCUACCUCCGAGUGGGGAAUAACUGAGAGAAAUCUUAGCUAAUACCGCAUAAUACCCACGGGUCAAAGCAGCAAUGCGCUUGGAGAGGAGUUCGCGGCCGAUUAGCUAGUUGGCGGGGCAAUGGCCCACCAAGGCAAUGAUCGGUA